UUUUCCGAUCUCUCCACUCUUUGAAAGGAUUCAAGAUUAUUCACACUGUACACUAGAACAAAGCCAUCGGCAAAUGAAAAAUAGUGCUUCGCUUUCUCCCCUGGAUCACCAUCCACCUGGGCAGUCUUUAGAGUUCUUUUUAAACAAGGAAAACGUGGGUGCAAGUUAUCAUACAU